AAGUGAAGAAGAGAGGAGUGGUGAUAUAUGCAAAAGAGAGCCUGUCACCUAAAUUUCUAUUUAAAGAUGAACAUGGAAGGAUUUUGGCUAUUGAGAUACAAUAUCAAGGAGAGAAACUGCUGAUAUUAGGAAUCUAUGCGCCCAAUGAAGGGAAAUCGGAAUUUUACAAGAAGUUGCAGGGGACAAUGCUGGAUCAUCUGGAUUACAACAACAUCAUAAUGAUGGGAGACAUGAACGGGGUCGUGUCAACUAACAUGGACAAGUCGCAAAGUCAAAAUGUCACAAAAGAUGGCAGACUACCUAAAACCUUUUUUGAAAUGACUGACAAUAUGGACUUGAUUGACAUUUGGAGAACAAAGAACCCACUAGGUAGAGAAGGAACAUUCUUUUCUGAAGCCCAACUGACCUGGACAAGAAUCGACCAAAUAUGGAUCUCUAGAGGCCUGGCACCUAGGGUUAGAAAAGUGGAAAUCUGCCCAAAGACCUGCUCUGACCACAACGCAGUAAAGAUGGAUAUGACACUACUACCAACUGGAUCCUUUAGAUGGAAGAUGAAUGACAAUUUGUUUAGAGAUCAGGAAAUUACCAAGAAGGCCCAAAAAGUUUUGAAAGACUAUUUCGAGAUAAACAUGAACAAUUCGGUGGAAAAAGAAUCGUCUGGGACGCAAGCAAAGCUGUCAUGAGGGGAUUCCUGAUACAACAGAAUGUAGU